rnacentral:rRNA from 1 species
GACGAACGCUGGCGGCGUGCUUAACACAUGCAAGUCGAACGGAAAGGCCCUGCUUUUGUGGGGUGCUCGAGUGGCGAACGGGUGAGUAACACGUGAGUAACCUGCCCGUGACUUUGGGAUAACUUCAGGAAACUGGGGCUAAUACCGGAUAGGAGCUCCUGCUGCAUGGUGGGGGUUGGAAAGUUUCGGCGGUUGGGGAUGGACUCGCGGCUUAUCAGCUUGUUGGUGGGGUAGUGGCUUACCAAGGCUUUGACGGGUAGCCGGCCUGAGAGGGUGACCGGCCACAUUGGGACUGAGAUACGGCACAGACUCCUACGGGAGGCAGCAGUGGAGAAUAUUGCACAAUGGGCGGAAGCCUGAUGCAGCAACGCCGCGUGCGGGAUGACGGCCUUCGGGUUGUAAACCGCUUUCGCCUGUGACGAAGCGUGAGUGACGGUAAUGGGUAAAGAAGCACCGGCUAACUACGUG